rnacentral:rRNA from 1 species
GAUGAACGCUGGCGGCGUGCCUAAUACAUGCCAGUCGAGCGAACGGACGAGGAGCUUGCUCCUCUGACGUUAGCGGCGGACGGGUGAGUAACACGUGGAUAACCUACCUAUAAGACUGGGAUAACUUCGGGAAACCGGAGCUAAUACCGGAUAAUAUAUUGAACCGCAUGGUUCAAUAGUGAAAGACGGUUUUGCUGUCACUUAUAGAUGGAUCCGCGCCGCAUUAGCUAGUUGGUAAGGUAACGGCUUACCAAGGCAACGAUGCGUAGCCGACCUGAGAGGGUGAUCGGCCACACUGGAACUGAGACACGGUCCAGACUCCUACGGGAGGCAGCAGUAGGGAAUCUUCCGCAAUGGGCGAAAGCUUGACGGAGCAACGCCGCGUGAGUGAUGAAGGUCUUCGGAUCGUAAAACUCUGUUAUUAGGGAAGAACAAAUGUGUAAGUAACUAUGCACGUCUUGACGGUACCUAAUCAGAAAGCCACGGCUAACUACGUG